GAGAUCGUGGAGAGAAUAAGCAGAUGCAGGAAUGUGUUGAAUGCCACAUGACAGCCUCCAGUUAGAUCCUUCCAUAAGUAAGACUCAAAUGAAAGCCAGGUGUCAAAGCUAUGGAGCCCAUGUGGAUCAUAGGAGUCAACUACUAGGACACAGUUCAGAACAGAAAACGGGUCAGAGGUUCCUCCUCUCUGAGCUAUGUUUCCAUGGCAGAGUGAGCCACCAAGCACCAGACCCUUUGAGGACUGCCAUCAACGACAAAUGUUCUUUUAUAGAACACAGCUCCAGAGAGGCCUGAUCAUCCCGGUUCCUCAUUCUGUCUAAAGCACAGAAUCAGGGAUUGAAAACUAAAUAUGUGACGUCAGCUGUGGUGUCAACGCCUUCAGAAUGAGAUGGGAAGGGGUCAGCUUGAGCCUCCUCGGUUCCCUGGAGACACAGAGUGUUCUGCAGUGAUGACUGGAUAUGCUAUUUCACUGAGCAUGUAGACAAGGUGGUAGUUCUUAAAGGAAAAGAAGUAACAGAGCAACAGAUCUGAAGAUGUCACUCCUAUACCUCUGAAGACCCAGUCCUCCCCAGGACUGACACUCAGCAGAGUCACCGUUGCCACAAGUUAAUAAACACAUUCUCUUCCUUGUCUGUGCUCA
rnacentral:lncRNA from 1 species